UUUGAGGCAUCUAACAUAAGGUUUCCUCUAUCAUGAACAAUUUAUGGUUUUGACAUAUAAAACCCAUUAUUCGUGCAUAAUCCAAUUAGUUGACUUGAAACGCGCGAGCAUCUUAACCUAAAUCACUUCGAACCUGGCGUGACUCGGACCUGAAGAACCUCAGAUUCAAACCUGACAUUCCGAGAUCAGUUGAAACUUAGACAACUUGUACUAGAGUGCUCUUAAAUCUAAAAUGACCCGAACCCAAACUAUCCGAUCGACCCGAAUCUGAAAAACCUGAGACCUGUAAUGAUUCAUAUGUAAAAUGAGUCUACUAUUCUCUAUGCUAACUUUAAAAGAUACGAUUCUAAAGAUCCAGGAAAGGGAUCUAAAGGUAAAUUUAUCUUUCACUUUAUCUCCAACCAAUGCUUUUAUUAUGUUAAUUUAGGUGAUUGAGUUGUAUCCAGUAAUGAUAAAUAGUAUCCUCAAGUAAGGACACUGGGUAGAUAAUCUUUCAUGUUAAAAGGCUAGCUCUCUACCGCAUCGCUCUCGUAAAACUUGCACUAAUCCCCAAUCUUUCAAUUAUGGUUUAUUUUCAGUCUGCGAACUUUUGAAUUAGACAUCUCUAAAGUACUUUCAAAGUGUAUCAAUUUAAUUAUCUUCCUUAACUUAGCUCUUAAUCUCUCUCUAUUAUUAGAUACAAUUUUUUUUUUUGAGAGAUAGGUAGCACGCUAUCCGCUUCGUUUAUUUUAUUUAGAAAUAAAUUUAGCUAGAAAUGUGAAUCAAUUAGGUUUCGAACAUGGGUCUCGGGUACCAACCACCAAAUUCUUUGCCACUUGCUCUAGGGAUGGUCAGUAUUAUUAGAUACAAUUUAGAAUCCUGGCCUAUAUAUAAAGUGAAGGGUUUCUUCUAAGCUUUU
rnacentral:lncRNA from 1 species